CCUACGGGGGGCAGCAGUAGGGAAUAUUGCUCAAUGGGGGCAACCCUGAAGCAGCAACGCCGCGUGGAGGAUGAAGGUUUUCGGAUUGUAAACUCCUUUUGUUAGAGAAGAUAAUGACGGUAUCUAACGAAUAAGCACCGGCUAACUCCGUGCCAGCAGCCGCGGUAAUACGGGGGGUGCAAGCGUUACUCGGAAUCACUGGGCGUAAAGAGGGCGUAGGCGGGAUAGCAAGUCAGAUGUGAAAUCCUAUGGCUUAACCAUAGAACUGCAUUUGAAACUGUUAUUCUAGAGUAUGGGAGAGGUAGGUGGAAUUCUUGGUGUAGGGGUAAAAUCCGUAGAGAUCAAGAGGAAUACUCAUUGCGAAGGCGACCUGCUAGAACAUAACUGACGCUGAUGCGCGAAAGCGUGGGGAGCAAACAGGAUUAGAUACCCCAGUAGUC
rnacentral:rRNA from 1 species